UACAGAGGUCUCAAGCGUUGUUCGGAUUCAUUGGGCGUAAAGGGUGCGUAGGUGGCGCGCUAAGUCAGGUGUGAAAUUUCGGAGCUUAACUCCGAAACUGCAUUUGAUACUGGCGUGCUUGAGGACUGGAGAGGAGACUGGAAUUCAUGGUGUAGCAGUGAAAUGCGUAGAUAUCGAGAGGAACACCUGCGGCGAAGGCGGGUUGCUGGGCUGACACUGACGCUGAUGCGCGAAAGCCAGGGGAGCGAACGGG
rnacentral:rRNA from 1 species